rnacentral:rRNA from 1 species
UACGGGGGGAGCAAGCGUUGUUCGGAUUUACUGGGCGUAAAGGGCGCGUAGGCGGUCAGCACAAGUCAGUUGUGAAAUCUCCGGGCUUAACCCGGAAAGGUCAACUGAUACUGUGCGACUAGAGUGCGGAAGGGGCAACUGGAAUUCUCGGUGUAGCGGUGAAAUGCGUAGAUAUCGAGAGGACCACCUGCGGCGAAGGCGGGUUGCUGGGCCGACACUGACGCUGAUGCGCGAAAGCCAGGGGAGCGAACGGG